ensembl:misc_RNA Metazoa_SRP Metazoan signal recognition particle RNA
GCCAGGCAUGGUGGCUCAUGCCUGUGGUCCCAGCUACUCAGGAGGCUGAAAUGGAAGGAUUGCUUGAGCCCAGGAGGUCAAGGCUGCAGUGAGCCAUGAUUGUGCCACUGCACCCCAGUCUGGGCUACAGAGCCAGAUUCUGUCUCAA